AGGUGGGGUGAAAGAUAAAAGCUGGUCAAGGAUGCACGUCCAUGCAAGUGAGAUAAACCAGAGUUUUGGUGGGCACAGUUUGCACCACUGCUAACGAAUAGAGGAUUCAAGUCAAACUCAGGAUUCAACAGAUUAAACCCACAAGAAUUUUAGCCUGCCUUGUGCAAAAGCACAAGAAGAAGGCCUUGUCUACAUUGAGGAUUUGCCAUUAUUACAGUCAUCGGUGUAACUGGACUGGUGCAAUCCCUAAGGUACACCUGGUGUAGCUUAUUCCAUUUGAAGCAGGGAGGAGCUCUUCCACCAGUACAUAUAACAGCUCUGUCUGUGUACAUGAGGGGUUGCACCUGUCCAGUUAUAAUAAUGACUGAAAUGAAAGCAAAUCCCCAGUAUAUACAAGGUCAAAGACUGAAUAUUGAGUCUCGGGUCAAAUGUAUGCUAGUUGAAAGGCUUUGUUAAUGCAUUCACUAUUCAUUUUUUAAUUGUUUUGAGGACCCUAGGAGGCAAAUGAAUUUUUGAUGCAUCCUUUUGGAUUCUUGCUAUUCUAUAUUGUAUUUUAUAGUGACUGACACAGAGCUGUUAAAGGGUGGGACUGUAGUAGCGUGAUCUGGAGAUAGAUAACUUUUCUAGAAUUCAAGUAUUUAAUCAGUCACUAAGUCCUGUGUUUUGUACCAUAUCAAAACUGGUUUGUCUGAGCCAACUGCAAAAACAGUGGAAAUGGGUACCAUAGCAUGUGUACCAAAUCACAAGUACUAUAAUAGCUCCCAGUGCAGCUAUUGUGGCAUUAGUACAUUUUUGUAAUGAUAAUACUCUAUGCUUAUGCAAUUUGUUCUGACAUCUCUCUUUAGACUUCUCAUUUCUGAAAUGUAGCAGAUCAGUUUUUACUUCACUGCAGAUCUUACCAUGAGAAAGCUAGUUGGAAGGGCAGUCCAACUAAAUUGGUACCAACAGCCUGACUCCAUUGUUGUCUAAGUGGAGCUCAGGUAUUCUGUUGCACCCAUUUACCUCUGCUUUUGCUGCAUUGCAUGCUCUGCUAAAGAAGACAUAGGAGAUUCAUUUUACCCAACCAGCAGUUGUAGCAAUGGACUACAAUCAAGCCAGUUUGUUGGACAGUAGGAAUACUUGCACUGCAGCAUUUGACACAGACUAUCUAAAGAGGGCAAAGAUUCAGGAGGGUGAAUGAGUUGAACCGCCUUUGAAUGAAGUCUGAAACAACUUCCAGAAGGGGAAUCCUACUCUAAAAUACUAUAUAGAAAAUAUAAGUCAAAGUGAAUAUUGUAAUUACCAGAUUGUCCCUUCUCAUUCAAGCAAACUAUUUUGUGCUGUUCUGGGUCCUUAAAAGAACACACUUGAAUAUUUCAAAAUCUAUGUAUUAUACUUAUUUAAAAAAAAAAUUCAAAUAUUUGUCUUUAUUAACUUUGCCAUUUCAUGAAGAAUAUCUGCAACAACAUGUACUGAGUUGAAAUAAUACCCUACAUUCAAUAGAUCAGCAGCUGUUGACAGUUGUUUUAUAAGAUUCACACAACAUUUCCUCUCUUUUUCCUCUGGGGGAAAAGAAGCAUUAACUUCCAUUGGCACAUUCAAAAAAGCCAUAGGGCAGUCAUACACACCUUGCUUCUUCACCACACAUAGAGAUGACAAAUUAUUCUUCCAUGCAUCCCAAUAGUAUAUCUAGCAUUGUAAAUAUUAAGUUAUGAAUGGUUAUUGUCUGGUGCCAAUGAAAGUUAGAUUAGAUGGAUCAUGGCUUAAUUUUUUUUUUUUUUUCCCCAGUGUUCUGUUUUUCUGUCCCCCUCACCUCACAUACUAGGGCAUAUGAUCAAGAUGAUCGUAUUAGGUAUCAGAAAAUCAACCAUUAUCUGUUCUGUUUUUCCCAUUCUUGGUUGUCACAAUAUUAUGCACUAACUUGAAAUGUUUGUAAAUUCAUAUUAAAAAUGUUUGAGACCUCAUCUAAAUAAAUUUUUUUUUAUAAAAAUGUCGUGCUUAACUUUUAGCCUUAGACUCAUUUUUUUGUUCUCCUUUGUGCUGCCAUGUUCCCUUUAAUUGCCUUCUGACCCUUUGUGUUUUUGGUUUUUCAUUGUGAUGGUGCAGCAGAACCUUUUUGUGCAUGGAAGGAAAUUUUACUAGGAUCAUCUACAGAAAAUACUUUGGACAUGGAGCUAUUUGUUUCCUUGGAACUUGGCUGUGUGUUGUACAAGGGUUU